GAUGAACGCUGGCGGCGUGCCUAAUACAUGCAAGUCGAGCGAACGGACGAGAAGCUUGCUUCUCUGAUGUUAGCGGCGGACGGGUGAGUAACACGUGGAUAACCUACCUAUAAGACUGGGAUAACUUCGGGAAACCGUAGCUAAUACCGGAUAAUAUUUUGAACCGCAUGGUUCAAAAGUGAAAGACGGUCUUGCUGUCACUUAUAGAUGGAUCCGCGCUGCAUUAGCUAGUUGGUAAGGUAACGGCUUACCAAGGCAACGAUGCAUAGCCGACCUGAGAGGGUGAUUCGCCAAACUGGAACUGAGAAACGGUCCAGAAUCCUACGGGAGGCAGCAGUAGGGAAUCUUCCGCAAUGGGCGAAAGCCUGACGGAGCAACGCCGCGUGAGUGAUGAAGGUCUUCGGAUCGUAAAACUCUGUUAUUAGGGAAGAACAUAUGUGUAAGUAACUGUGCACAUCUUGACGGUACCUAAUCAGAAAGCCACGGCUAACUACGUG
rnacentral:rRNA from 1 species